rnacentral:rRNA from 1 species
GUCUCUUUGUUAUAUAUAAAUAAAGAKUUGGGCCUGCUCGGUGAAUAAUUUUUAACAGCUGCGGUAUUUUAACUGUACUAAGGUAGCAUAAUAAUUUGCCUUAUAAUUUGAGGCUAGAAUGAAUGGUUUGACGAAGGUUAAUCUGUCUCUAUCUUAUUUUUUAGAAUUUAAUUUUUAAAGUGAAAAAGCUUGAAUUUUUUAAAGGGACGAGAAGACCCUAAUGAGCUUAUAAUUUUAUUAUUAUUAUUUAAUAUAUUUAAAUAAUAAUAUAUAAAUUUUAAUUGGGGUGAUUAAGGAAUAAAAGAAUUAUAUAAUAACUUCCUUAGAUUAAAUAUAUAUAUAUAAAGUAACCAAUAAUAUAUUGCUUAUAAUAUAGUUACCAUAGGGAUAACAGCGUAAUUUGUUUAGAGAGUUCUUAUUGAAAAACAAGAUUGCGACCUCGAUGUUGGAUUAAAGUAACCUUAAGGUGCAGAAGCUUUAGUAAGGUAAAUCUGUUCGAUUUUUAAUACUUUAC